ACAAGCGGUGGAGCAUGUGGUUUAAUCGAUGAUACGCGAGGAACCUUACCUGGCUCAAAUGUAUGUUGACGUAUUCUGAAAGGGAUACUUCUUCGGACAAUAUACAAGGUGCUGCAUGGUUGUCGUCAGCUCGUGCCGUGAGGUGUCGGGUUAAGUCCCAUAACGAGCGCAACCCCUAUCAUUAGUUGCCAUCAGGUCAAGCUGGGGACUCUAAUGAAAUUGCCUACGCAAGUAGUGAGGAAGGUGGGGAUGACGUCAAAUCAGCACGGCCCUUACGUCCAGGGCUACACACGUGCUACAAUGGCCGGUACAAAGGGCAGCUACCUGGUGACAGGAUGCUAAUCUCAAAAGCCGGUCUCAGUUCGGAUCGGAGUCUGCAACCCGACUCCGUGAAGCUGGAAUCGCUAGUAAUCGCGCAUCAGCCAUGGCGCGGUGAAUACGUUCCCGGGCCUU
rnacentral:rRNA from 1 species